UACGAAGGGGGCUAGCGUUGUUCGGAAUUACUGGGCGUAAAGCGUUUGUAGGCGGUUAUACAAGUCAGGUGUGAAAUCCUGGGGCUCAACCUCAGAAUUGCAUUUGAAACUGUAUAGCUAGAGAAUGUUAGAGGAAAGUGGAAUUCCUAGUGUAGGAGUGAAAUCCGUAGAGAUUAGGAGGAAUAUCGAUGGCGAAGGCAGCUUUCUGGGACAUUUCUGACGCUGAGAAACGAAAGCGUGGGUAGCAAACAGG
rnacentral:rRNA from 1 species